AUGGCGUGCCUUUUGUAGAAUGAACCGGCGAGUUACGAUUUCAUGCGAGGUUAAGUUGAUGAGACGGAGCCGCAGCGAAAGCGAGUCUGAAUAGGGCGAAUGAGUAUGAGGUCGUAGACCCGAAACCAGGUGAUCUACCCAUGUCCAGGGUGAAGUUCAGGUAACACUGAAUGGAGGCACGAACCCACGCACGUUGAAAAGUGCGGGGAUGAGGUGUGGGUAGCGGAGAAAUUCCAAUCGAACCUGGAGAUAGCUGGUUCUCUCCGAAAUAGCUUUAGGGCUAGCCUCAAGAUGAGAGUAUUGGA
rnacentral:rRNA from 1 species